GAUGAACGCUGGCGGCGUGCCUAAUACAUGCAAGUCGAGCGAACAGACGAGGAGCUUGCUCCUCUGACGUUAGCGGCGGACGGGUGAGUAACACGUGGAUAACCUACCUAUAAGACUGGGAUAACUUCGGGAAACCGGAGCUAAUACCGGAUAAUAUAUUGAACCGCAUGGUUCAAUAGUGAAAGACGGUUUUGUUGUCACUUAUAGAUGGAUCCGCGCCGCAUUAGCUAGUUGGUAAGGUAACGGCUUACCAAGGCAACGAUGCGUAGCCGACCUGAGAGGGUGAUCGGCCACACUGGAACUGAGACACGGUCCAGACUCCUACGGGAGGCAGCAGUAGGGAAUAUUCCGCAAUGGGCGAAAGCCUGACGGAGCAACGCCGCGUGAGUGAUGAAGGUCUUCGGAUCGUAAAACUCUGUUAUUAGGGAAGAACAAAUGUGUAAGUAACUAUGCACGUCUUGACGGUACCUAAUCAGAAAGCCACGGCUAACUACGUG
rnacentral:rRNA from 1 species